UACGUAGGGCGCAAGCGUUAUCCGGAAUUAUUGGGCGUAAAGAGCUCGUAGGCGGUUUGUCGCGUCUGCCGUGAAAGUCCGGGGCUCAACUCCGGAUCUGCGGUGGGUACGGGCAGACUAGAGUGAUGUAGGGGAGACUGGAAUUCCUGGUGUAGCGGUGAAAUGCGCAGAUAUCAGGAGGAACACCGAUGCGAAGGCAGGUCUCUGGGCCACUACUGACGCUGAGAAGCGAAAGCAUGGGGAGCGAACAGG
rnacentral:rRNA from 1 species